rnacentral:rRNA from 1 species
UACGAAGGGGGCUAGCGUUGCUCGGAAUCACUGGGCGUAAAGCGCACGUAGGCGGAUUGUUAAGUCAGGGGUGAAAUCCUGGAGCUCAACUCCAGAACUGCCUUUGAUACUGGCAUAUCUAGUCCGGAGAGGUGAGUGGAACUCGUAGUGUAGAGGUGAAAUUCGUAGAUAUUAGAAGAACACCAGUGGCGAAGGCGGCUCACUGGCCGGUACUGACGCUGAGGUGCGAAAGCGUGGGGAGCAAACAGGAUUAGA